AGAGUUGGUGCUGCGGUUGCGGGCUCAGGACUUAGCUUCGCUAAGUCCUGAGCUUGAGGAAAGUCCGGGCUCCUGAAAGGUCAGGCUUGCUGGGUAACUCCCAGUGCGGGUGACCGUGAGGAUAGUGCCACAGAAACAUACCGCCAAUGGAAAGGUGGAAGGCGGAAGGCGGAAGGCGGAAGUUAAAUUCAUCCUUUAUCCUUCAUCCUUCAUCCUUUUACAGGUAAGGGUGCAAAGGUGCGGUAAGAGCGCACCAGCAGUAUCGAGAGGUACUGGCUCGGUAAACCCCGGCCAGGAGCAAGGUCGCAGGGGACAUGGUUGACCUUUUUCCAGCCCCGUUUUUGGUGUACCGCUAGAGGCAACUGGUAACAGU
rnacentral:RNase_P_RNA from 1 species